rnacentral:rRNA from 1 species
GAUGAGCGCUGGCGGCGUGCCUAAUACAUGCAAGUCGAGCGAACAGACGAGGAGCUUGCUCCUCUGACGUUAGCGGCGGACGGGUGAGUAACACGUGGAUAACCUACCUAUAAGACUGGGAUAACUUCGGGAAACCGGAGCUAAUACCGGAUAAUAUAUUGAACCGCAUGGUUCAAUAGUGAAAGACGGUUUUGCUGUAACUUAUAGAUGGAUCCGCGCCGCAUUAGCUAGUUGGUAAGGUAACGGCUUACCAAGGCGACGAUGCGUAGCCGACCUGAGAGGGUUGUCGGCCACACUGGAACUGAGACACGGUCCAGACUCCUACGGGAGGCAGCCUUAGGGAAUCUUCCGCAAUGGGCGAAAGCCUGACGGAGCAACGGCGCGAGAGUGAUGAAGGUCUUCGGAUCGUAAAACUCUGUUAUUAGGGAAGAACAAAUGUGUAAGUAACUAUGCACGUCUUGACGGUACCUAAUCAGAAAGCCACGGCUAAAUACGUG